GUGGGGAAUAUUGGGCAAUGGGGGAAACCCUGACCCAGCGACGCCGCGUGAGGGAAGAAGGCCUUAGGGUCGUAAACCUCUGUUGUGUGGGAAGAAGAGCGUGACGGUACCACACGAGGAAGUCCCGGCUAACUACGUGCCAGCAGCCGCGGUAAUACGUAGGGGACGAGCGUUGUCCGGAUUUACUGGGCGUAAAGGGCGCGUAGGCGGUCAUUUAAGUCAGCUGUGAAAUGGUUUGGCUUAACCGGAUCAUGCGGUUGAAACUGGAUGACUGGAGUGCUGGAGAGGCAAGUGGAAUUCCCAGUGUAGCGGUGAAAUGCGUAGAUAUUGGGAAGAACACCGGUGGCGAAGGCGACUUGCUGGCCAGUAACUGACGCUGAGGCGCGAAAGCCAGGGGAGCAAACGGGAUUAGAAACCCUGGUAGUCC
rnacentral:rRNA from 1 species